rnacentral:rRNA from 1 species
GACGAACGCUGGCGGCGUGCUUAACACAUGCAAGUCGAACGGAAAGGCCCCUUUGGUGGUACUCAGGUGUCGAACGGGUGAGUAACACGUAAGUAACCUGCCCUUGACUUCGGGAUAACUUCAGGAAACUGGGGCUAAUACCGGCUAGGAAUCCUUGCUGCAUGGGGGGGGUUGGAAAGCUUCGGCGGAUUGGGAUGGACUCGCGGGUUUUCAGCUUGUUGGUGGGGUAGUGUCGUACCAAGGCUAUGACGGGUAGCCGGCCUGAGAGGGGGACCGGCCACAUUGGGACUGAGAUACGGCCCAGACUCCUCCGGGGGGCAGAGGUGGGGAAAAUUGCACAAUGGGCGGAAGCCUGAGGCAGCAAAGCCGCGUGCGGGAUGACGGCCUUAGGGUUGCAAGCCGCGUUCAGCAGGGGAGAAGCUUGUGGUGACGGUACCUGAAGAAGAAGCACCGGCUAACUACGUG